rnacentral:rRNA from 1 species
UACAGAGGGGGCCAGCGUUAUUCGGAAUUAUUGGGCGUAAAGGGCUCGUAGGCGGCCAACUAAGUCAGACGUGAAAUCCCUCGGCUUAACCGGGGAACUGCGUCUGAUACUGGAUGGCUUGAAUCCGGGAGAGGGAUGCGGAAUUCCAGGUGUAGCGGUGAAAUGCGUAGAUAUCUGGAGGAACACCGGUGGCGAAGGCGGCAUCCUGGACCAAUAUUGACGCUGAGGAGCGAAAGCCAGGGGAGCAAACGGG